ACCUGGCUGGCUCAGUCGGAAGAGUAUGUGACUCUUGAUCUCAGGGUUGUGAGUUCAAGUCCCCUGUUGGGUG
rnacentral:tRNA from 1 species